UCAAUUAUUAUUGAAAAAGCUAGAUGUCA
rnacentral:piRNA from 1 species